AAUUCUCAACCUCACCCGUUUUCUGAACGGUUCUCCGAGGCUUGGAUGUGGGGGUUUGUGCAGGCUGCCUCAGCGCGGUCUGCUCCCCUGAAAUGUAUUAGCGAGAUUCAUAAUCUGAACCUCCGUCUAUCGGUGUGAUAAUUAUCUACGUCGUUGACUUGGUUCGGACUCGCUUCUAACCGUCCGCGAGGACAACAUUACUUGACA
rnacentral:misc_RNA from 1 species